rnacentral:rRNA from 1 species
GAUGAACGCUGGCGGCGUGCCCAAUACAUGCAAGUCGAGCGAACAGAUAAGGAGCUUGCUUCUUUGACGUUAGCGGCGGACGGGUGAGUAACACGUGGGUAACCUACCUAUAAGACUGGAAUAACUCCGGGAAACCGGGGCUAAUGCCGGAUAACAUUUAGAACCGCAUGGUUCUAAAGUGAAAGAUGGUUUUGCUAUCACUUAUAGAUGGACCCGCGCCGUAUUAGCUAGUUGGUAAGGUAACGGCUUACCAAGGCAACGAUACGUAGCCGACCUGAGAGGGUGAUCGGCCACACUGGAACUGAGACACGGUCCAGACUCCUACGGGAGGCAGCAGUAGGGAAUCUUCCGCAAUGGGCGAAAGCCUGACGGAGCAACGCCGCGUGAGUGAUGAAGGUCUUCGGAUCGUAAAACUCUGUUAUUAGGGAAGAACAAAUGUGUAAGUAACUAUGCACGUCUUGACGGUACCUAAUCAGAAAGCCACGGCUAACUACGUG